UCGCCGGUGUCGCUGCCUUCGAGCUCGAAGUCGAUGUCCAUGUCAUUGCCGGUCGGACUGGAGGAGGGAGGAGGCGGGCUCGCCGGUCAGCCGGUCACGGAGGGAGCAGUGGGGGUGGUGGGGCCCGGGGCUUCGGCGGAGGGAGCCAUGGCCCGUGGAGGAGGGAGAAGGGCAGAAGGCGGGGCGACGGUGGACGGGGAGGAGGCGGGGCGACGGUCGAC
rnacentral:lncRNA from 1 species